GACGAACGCUGGCGGCGCGCUUAACACAUGCAAGUCGAACGGAAAGGCCUGCUUUUCCUUGUGGUUUGCGGGUACUCGCGUGGCGAACGGGUGAGUAACACGUGAGUCAUCUGCCCCCAACUUGGGUAUAAGCAUGGGAAACUGGGUCUAAUUCUCGAUAGGACUGCAGGGUGGAGUAGUUGGUGGCAAACGUUUUUUCAGUGGUAGGGGAUGAGCCGGCGGCCUAUCAGCUUGUUGGUGGGGUAAUGGCCUACCAAGGCGGGGACGGGUAGCCGGCCGGAGAGGGUGGACGGUGACAGUGGGACUCGGAGACGACCCGUACGCCUACGGGAGGCAGGAGUGGUGAAGAAUGGGGAGUGGGCGUAAGCCUGAAGCAGCGACGCCGCGAUGAAGAUGACGGCCUUCGGAUUGUAAGCUCCUAGCGAACGCGAAGAGGCCACGUGGGUGGAAGGGUGGUGACGGUAGUGGUAGAAGAAGCACCGGCUAACUACGUG
rnacentral:rRNA from 1 species